rnacentral:lncRNA from 1 species
AGGAUUGAAUUCCUUUCAGUCAGAAUUGAAGUAUAGCCUUAAGCAAUAAAUGAAGUUAAGUAAUUUCUUACCGAUUUUCACUCUCUUGCUGCGCUCCUCAGUUUUCAGUCGGAGAUGCGUAAUCUGAGCUAAAUGCCUAUGUUUGCUGAGAUUCCUCGCCCUUCACUUUUAAGGCUAUGCCAUCCUAAGGUGCUGCUAAAUGGAUGGAUCUUAUCAACGUCCAUGAAUGAUAAAUCAUAGAUCGAACCGCCGAAUCGGAAAAAUUGGGUGCUAUCAUAAAGCUUUGUAUCGGCUAAGUUCACGAGUUGGAGAUAAGCGGACUCGAACCGCUGACAUCCGCCGCAGGGUAAACCACCGCCUCUCAGGUCCCCCGACUGAUUCUACCAUAGAGGCCAACGAUAGACAAUAACCCCCCCCCGAACACAGCUUACAACUUUCAUCGUACUGUGCUCUCCAAAGAGCAACUCUUCUCAAAAUCUCACUCAAAAGGUGCUGAGUUGGAAUCCCAUUCUAACUAAGGAUUCUUGUGGUUCCGGAGGAUCCAACUACAGGAGAACCAGGAACGGAGGGCUUUCCCCCCUUUCCGCCCGACUCUUUGGUCUUAAGAACGCUGGUUUUAAGAAUGAGUCAUUGCCCUUCUCCGACCCUGACUGCCCAACCUGAGAGCGGACAGCUAAUGCGUUCCACUUAUUGAACAGGGUUCUAUGGUCGGUCCGUGACCCCUGGAUGCCGAAGGCGUCCUUGGGGUGAUCUCGUAGUUCCUACGGGGUGGAGAUGAUGGGGUCGGUCCAUGGUUGAUAAAUUUUGUAAAUAAAAACUACCUUUUGUAAAUAAAAAAUAAUAGUGAUAGAUUUUGUAAUAUAGGCGCUAAAUUUGUAUAUUUAUGUGAUUUAUCCUAAUAUUCUAUGUGGCAAAUUUCAUAUAAUUCGACUUAUAAAACGAGUGUAUAUCUACUAAUUUAAUUUUAUAAUAGUUUAAGUAGACUUUUGGCCAUGUUACAUUUGUCAAAUAGAAAUAAGUAGUUUUUUCUUCUCAAAGUUUUAUUGAAUUUCAUCAUUUCCUUUAGAAUGAAGUUAAGGAUUGAAUUCCUUUCAGUCAGAAUUGAAGUAUAGCCUUAAGCAAUAAAUGAAGUCAAGUAAUUUCUUACCGAUUUUCACUCUCUUGCUGCGCUCCUCAGUUUUCAGUCGGAGAUGCGUAAUCUGAGCUAAAUGCCUAUGUUUGCUGAGAUUCCUCGCCCUUCACUUUUAAGGCUAUGCCAUCCUAAGGUGCUG